rnacentral:tRNA from 1 species
ACCUGGCUGGCUCCGUCUGUGGAGCCUGUGACUCUUAAUCUCAAGGUCGUGUGUUCAAGUCUCAUGUUGGGUC